rnacentral:rRNA from 1 species
CAGCCGUAAACUAUGCGCGUUAGGUGUACUGGUGACCACGAGUCACCGGGGUGCCGAAGGGAAACCGUGAAACGUGCCGCCUGGGAAGUACGGUCGCAAGGCUGAAACUUAAAGGAAUUGGCGGGGGGAGCACCACAACGGGUGGAGCCUGCGGUUUAAUUGGACUCAACGCCGGAAAUCUCACCGGAUAGGACAGACAUAUGAUAGUCGGGCUGAAGACUCUACUUGAUGAUCUGAGAGGUGGUGCAUGGCGUCAGUG